AUUGAACGCUGGCGGCAUGCCUUACACAUGCAAGUCGAACGGCAGCGGGGACUUCGGUCCGCCGGCGAGUGGCGAACGGGUGAGUAAUGUAUCGGAACGUACCAUUCAGUGGGGAAUAACUAUCCGAAAGGAUAGCUAAUACCGCAUAUUCUGUGAGCAGGAAAGCAGGGGAUCGCAAGACCUUGCGCUGAUUGAGCGGCCGAUAUCAGAUUAGCUAGUUGGUGAGGUAACGGCUCACCAAGGCUACGAUCUGUAGCGGGUCUGAGAGGAUGAUCCGCCACACUGGGACUGAGACACGGCCCAGACUCCUACGGGAGGCAGCAGUGGGGAAUUUUGGACAAUGGGCGCAAGCCUGAUCCAGCCAUGCCGCGUGAGUGAAGAAGGCCUUCGGGUUGUAAAGCUCUUUCGGCCGGGAAGAAAUCGCAUCAGCUAAUACCUGGUGUGGAUGACGGUACCGGAAUAAGAAGCACCGGCUAACUACGUGCCAGCCGCCGCCGUAACAC
rnacentral:rRNA from 1 species